GAGUUUGAUCAUGGCUCAGAUUGAACGCUGGCGGCAUGCCUUACACAUGCAAGUCGAACGGUAACAGGUCUUCGGACGCUGACGAGUGGCGAACGGGUGAGUAAUACAUCGGAACGUGCCCAGUCGUGGGGGGAUAACUACUCGAAAGAGUAGCUAAUACCGCAUACGAUCUGAGGAUGAAAGCGGGGGACCUUCGGGCCUCGCGCGAUUGGAGCGGCCGAUGGCAGAUUAGGUAGUUGGUGGGAUAAAAGCUUACCAAGCCGACGAUCUGUAGCUGGUCUGAGAGGACGACCAGCCACACUGGGACUGAGACACGGCCCAGACUCCUACGGGAGGCAGCAGCGGGGAAUUUUGGACAAUGGGCGAAAGCCUGAUCCAGCAAUGCCGCGUGCAGGAUGAAGGCCUCGGUU
rnacentral:rRNA from 1 species